GCUUUCAACAUCCCCGUUCCAAGUCGAGCCGACGAAGCAGUUUUGCCGGCGCGUCUUUGGAGCUGAAAGC
rnacentral:sRNA from 1 species